AUUGUUCAUAUGUUGUAUUUGUAUUAAAAGCAUUACAGAAGUAUACCGUUAGAUCAGUUUAUCUUAACCUGGCCGUUUGUUACUUUGUGGCAGUAUGAAAAAUGAUAAAAUAUAUUAUCAACAAACUCAUGGUGCUGAGUGUUUUUACUUAAAGGCAGUCGCUGUUUAAACUGGAUAAGUCCUUUGCGCAACUGCAGUGAAGACUUCGCGCACCGUUCCCGCAAUUUCGCAUAAAUUGUUGAGACACACCUCUAAACAAGAGAACGGAAAGUUUUCAGCUCUUCACGGUCGAAGACGGGAUGUUUUAGCAGAAGUAUUUUAGAUUCACACGAUAGAGAACACAGCAAUUUUGACGGUCUGGGUCGAGGAAACGAAACGCAAACCAAGCAAGAUAAAUGUUUCCUUAUCGGCUCGCUUGUCAGGACUGUGGUGUGAAGUUUGACACCAUCCGCCGCUUCAAGCAGCAUGUCCGCAGGAAGCAACAUCAACAGGUGCGAUUGUCAUGCAGCUCAUAAUUGCUCAAGAUGUGUUUUGUACAAACUGCAUUUCUAAGCUAUGCAGGCCAACCCUCC